rnacentral:rRNA from 1 species
GACGAACGCUGGCGGCGUGCUUAACACAUGCAAGUCGAGCGGGAAACUUCGGUUUCCAGCGGCGGACGGGUGAGUAACACGUGGGCAACCUGCCUCACAAUGAGGGAUAGCCCUCCGAAAGGAGGAUUAAUACCUCAUAACACAAGAGAAACGCAUGUUUCUCUUGCCAAAGAAUUUCGUUGUGAGAUGGGCCCGCGGCGCAUUAGCUUGUUGGUGAGGUAACGGCUCACCAAGGCGACGAUCCAUAGCUGGUCUGAGAGGAUGACCAGCCACAUUGGGACUGAGACACGGCCCAAACUCCUACGGGAGGCAGCAGUGGGGAAUAUUGGACAAUGGGCGCAAGCCUGAUCCAGCCAUGCCGCGUGAGUGAUGAAGGCCUUAGGGUUGUAAAGCUCUUUCACCGAUGAAGAUAAUGACGGUAGUCGGAGAAGAAGCCCCGGCUAACUUCGUGCCAGCAGCCGCAGUAAUAC